UAUUUUUAAGGCUCCCACAGAAAUGAGGAAAGUCAAUAGGACACAUUUGGACACCACAGAGCUCACUCAUUUUAACUGAUAGCCACUUUUCUUGAGUGUGUACUCCUUGGAUCACAGUCAGACUUUAGUUAACUUGUAGUGUUCUGAAAAAGUUAAUUUAAACUUUUUUUUUGUACUGAGGAUUGACCUUGGGACCUUGCGCUUGUGAGGCAGGUGGCGGAACCACUGAGCUAAAUCCCUGGCCCAAUUUAAACUUUUUUGGUCAAUGUUCUCAUUGCUCUUACAGAGGAAUGGAUUUUUGGAAGUUCUUGGUCCACUUUUCUGGAGGUACUUUUCUCCAGUCCCUUCAUUUUCACUUUGGACGUUUAUCUGUAAUAAAAGUCAGUGAGAAAUAAAUGGACUUCUGGGUACUCACACCUCUGCAGACGUGGGACAGUGACACUGUUGUGGCUACCCAGUACAAAUGGUCUUCACAAUGAGUAAGCACCUACUGUCCCAACUGGAAUUUUUGUUGAACUGGAGAGGAGCAAACAUUGCAAGCUUGAAGAAUAGAGCAAACACCAGUAAUCAACAGCAGAAGUUGAAUGCACAGUGUUUUUGGGGAUUCUGAUUCAGGAGAUCUGGCAAGACAGAUGUUAUUUUUAACAAGCACUUCAGAUACCUUGGAAGGAAAUGGUCAGAAAAUGCUGGAAUAAACCUAAGGUUUUCCUGCCAACCUCGCUGGCCAGGGAUCAUCCACUGGCUUUCUGCCCUUCUACCCUCCAGUGCCAGGUGUUGUUGUGCACGUGAGGCUUGCUUCAACAGGAGGCCAUCGUGUGCAUCUGACAGAGAUGUGCAGAUCAAGAGGAAAGCCACCAGCAAUACUCUAUGCAACAGGGCCAGCACUCUGGACAGAUCCUGGGACCCAGGUCCAUCUCACCAGAGAUACUGUCAUUUCCAAAAAGGAGUAUAUAAUGCAUGAAAAGAGGGACAGCCCAGAGUGACAAAGCAGAAGUGGAGAGUCUGUCCCACCUUUGUCAGUUUGCUGGGAAGUAAAGGCAGGCCAUGUCUAUAUCAGUGUUGCCUGGAGUUAUCUCUGUCCCAUCCACCAGCUUAUGGAGUGAAGCAGUGCAGAGUGGAUCCCAACAGGCUGCUUUGAGCUGAGCUGAGGUCUGCAUAGUUAGAUAAAGGGGCUUUCUAUUUACUGCUAUCCAGAGGUGGUUCUUGAACUUGAUAUCAUAUGAAGAGAACAGAAGAAUUUGUGAGGAAUGACUAAAGCCUUACUCUGCUAUAAGAACUACAUAUAACUUGCCACACACAUUUAGUUACAAAAGGGAAAUGUGGGGUUUUGGUAUACUCAUAGGCUCUCUUCUCUAAAGAGAUGGUGAGAUCCUGUAGUGCAAGAGAUAUGUUUGGGGUAUGUUUUAAAUCCAUUUUUAGUAAUUUAUUUUUAAGCUGGGUGAUUAACCCAAAGCUUAUUAUUUGCUUAUACUAUUAUUUUUAGUGGAGAAAACAUAAGUGAUGGAAUUUUUAAACUUUAUUGAGAUAUAAUCCAUAUUCAAAAAUUGCAUUUAUUUAAAGUGUGUAAUUUGAAGGAUUUUGACACACACACAUACAUACACUUACAAAGAAAUUACUUUGUAAUCUGUCUCUUCCAUUUUUCUGUACCCUCCCCACUUCUUAAAAACACUGAUUUCCUUUCCAUCACUAUGGAUCAGUUUGCAUUUCCUAGAAUAUUAUAUAAGAAGGUGUAUUGAGCACCACAUCCCUGAGAUGCCCCUUUGUGUUUCCAAGACUCUUGUUAAAUUAAUGGGACACUGUAAGUGGACAAGAACUGCAAUGUCUGGAUAAGUAUUAUCUAAGCUACACUGGGGACUGGGCAAACUAAUGUUAUGUGUAGAAGCUGCCUUCUUGCCCAUAUGCUAAGUCAGCUGUUUGCUGAAAUGAAAUGCUGGUCAUUUAAUGGAACAAGCUAAUGAUGUCACUGGUUCUGUAGCCUAAUCUAUAAAACCCUUCUCUCAGUGGCAAUGAGAGUAUGGAAUAGCACUGUGGAGUGCUGUAGGCCAGGUGGCUUUCAUUGGAUGUUAUAGGUGGAACAAUGCACUGUGGAGAGGACAAGUGCUAAUAGUCCAGAGAAACAUCACUGGAUACUUCGAGUAUUUUUGGCUCAGUACUUGUCCAGCCCAUCACCACUGGAUCUCCACAGUGGUGCUGUUGUGAAGUAUGCAUCCCUCAAGGACUUGCUGAGUCAUACUAUUGUAGAGUUUGUGUCCCUCAUGGAUUUUGCUGAGUAGUGCUUUUGUUGAGUACACAUUCCUCAUAGGAUUUUGCCAAGCAACAUGAUUAAAAUAGUAUGCACUCCUAGUGGACCUUCUGGAGAGUAUUGUUGAACCUCUAUCUCCUUUUUGUGUGCCUUUCCCUGUUGAUAUCAAUUAAUCCUGUCCUUCUCUGUUAGUAAGACUUAAUAAACUUUAUCUUUUACAAGCUGCCUCUGGGUAUUUUCUUUGUUGUCUUGGCAAACUGCUGUACUGCCCCAGCACAGCUGGAGUAUGGACAAGACAAUAGGAACAUGUGGUUUCUGCUGUAUGUUGGCUGGCUUCUAUCACUCAUCACAGUUAUUUUGAGAUCCAUC
rnacentral:lncRNA from 1 species